GAUGAAGAACGCAGCGAAAUGCGAUACUUGGUGUGAAUUGCAGAAUCCCGUGAACCAUCGAGUCUUUGAACGCAAGUUGCGCCCGAAGCCAUUAGGCCUAGGGCACGCCUGCCUGGGCGUCACACGUCGUUGCCCCCCCAUCUACUCCUUCGGGAUUGCGGGGGGCGGAUGAUGGCCUCCCGUGCGCCUCGCCGCGCGGUUGGCAUAAAUGCCAAGUCCUCGGCGACGCACGCCACGACAAUCGGUGGUUGCGAAACCUCGGUUGCCCGUCGUGUGCGGUCGUCGCGCAUCGAGGGCUCGAAAAAAUUGCCGGGUUCCGGCUCGGCUUUCAACGCGACCCCAGGUCAGGCGGGGUUACCCGCUGAAUUUAAGCAUAUCAAUAAGCGGAGGA
rnacentral:misc_RNA from 1 species